CGGGAGGCGACUCCUGACCCAGCCUCCGAGACAAGCAAGCCUCUAUUUGAGCCAGGAACCGAGCUGUCAAAGUGCCAGGAAUUGAUUCGUGGGUACAUCAUACUCGAGUUAAGAGGUGGCACCCUGACCAAAAUUAAGUGACUUCAUUUUA